rnacentral:rRNA from 1 species
CACAAGCAGAGGAGCAUGUGGCUUAAUUCGAUGCAACGCGAAGAACCUUACCCGGGUUUGACAUGUGACUGCACGGCCUGUGAAAGCAGGCCUCCUUCGAGGGUGUCACACAGGUGCUGCAUGGCUGUCGUCAGUUCGUGCCGUGAGGUGUUUGGUUAAGUCCAGCAACGAACGCAACCCCUGUGUCCAGUUGCCAGCGCGCAAAGGCGGGAACUCUGGACAGACUGCCCGUUCACACGGGAGGAAGGUGGGGAUGACGUCAAGUCAGUAUGGCCCUUACAUCCGGGGCUGCAUACGUGCUACAAUGGCCGGCACAAAGGGAAGCUUGACCGCGAGGUUUGGCCAACCCCCAAAACCGGCCCCAGUUCAGAUUGGGGUCUGCAACCCGACCCCAUGAAGUCGGAUUUGCUAGUAACGGCGCAUCAGCUACGGCGCCGUGAAUACGUUCCCGGGCCUU